GGGCUAUAGCCCAGUGGUAGAGCACUUACCUCACAUGCAUGAGGUCCUGGGUUUGAUCCUCAGGACCA
rnacentral:tRNA from 1 species